rnacentral:lncRNA from 1 species
GCCGGGAUGCGGUGCGCUAUUGGCCGCCCGCUCCCCCGGAGCCGCGGCCCGCCCAGCAGAACUCUGAUCCUCAUCAGAACCUUUCCCAGAGUCCAUCGGUUUAAUGCAGCAGUCAGUAUGCAUUCCAGAGAAGGACUUGUGGGACAAGAGAAAUGUAGACCACACGUGCACAGCAUGUUAGAGGACAGGGAUUACAGUGUGAGUCACACACUUGAAUCUCUACCUCAUGGCCGAACAUGACAGUAGCAAGUCCCUACCACAGUGUAUCAGGAAACCAGAAUAACCCAUGAACAUCUGGAGCACAGCCUGGGCACAGGUAGCUCUGACUCCAUGAAGACCCCAGCUCCGAUUCUGUCAUUGUAGAUGACGAGAAC